rnacentral:lncRNA from 1 species
AGGUUGUCAGCAUUCGAAGUCCGGAGAAUGACCGUCCCUUCCAGGGUUUCAAGUCGGUAGGCGCCCGGCCUGCAGAUGUCUGCAAUCUUGUAGGGUCCUUUCCAAUUCGGGGACAGUUUUUCUUGAUCCUGAGGCUUCGAGACUUCUACCUUCCUCAAAAUCAGAUCUCCGGGUCUGAAAGAUUUCUGCUUGACUUUAGCGUUGUAGUAUCGGGCCACUCUUUGUCGAUAGGAAGUCAAACGG